rnacentral:rRNA from 1 species
GAUGAACGCUGGCGGCGUGCCUAAUACAUGCAAGUCGAGCGAACAGACGAGGCGCUUGCUCCUCUGACGUUAGCGGCGGACGGGUGAGUAACACGUGGAUAACCUACCUAUAAGACUGGGAUAACUUCGGGAAACCGGCGCUAAUACCGGAUAAUAUAUUGAACCGCAUGGUUCAAUAGUGAAAGACGGUUUUGCUGUCACUUCUAGAUGGAUCCGCGCCGCAUUAGCUAGUUGGUAAGGUAACAGCUUACCAAGGCAACGAUGCGUAGCCGAACUGAGAGGGUGGUCGGCCACACUGGAACUGAGACACGGUCCAUACUCCUACGGGAGGCAGCAGUAGGGUAUCUUCCGCAAUGGGCGGGAGCCUGACGGAGCAACGCCGCGUGAGUGAUGAAAGUCUUCGGAUCGGAAAACUCUGUUAUUAGGUAAGAACAAAUGUGUAAGUAACUAUGGACGUCUUGACGGUACCUAAUCAGAAAGCCACGGCUAACUACGUG